CUUUGCCGGGUAUGUUUUGGAGCAGCCUCUGUAAUAAGUUCAAUAGCCCUGGGGGUUACGAACAAAGGAUUCAAUUCGGUAAUGUCGUAUUCCAGGUCGUAAUGCUGAUGAGUUACUCCCGCUCUGAUAUAAAAAUGUUUUUUCCAGCUGUAUGUAAUAACACAAAAAACUUUCUGGGCUAAUAAUGUAAGGGAAUGACACACCAAAAAACAAAAUACUGCAAAUUUGCUAAGGAGCUAGAAGCUCCUUGCCAUCACCAGUAAAGGUGACGUUGAGCUACGCAAACACAUCACCAGUAAAGGUGACGUUGAGCUACGCAAACACAUCACCAGUAAAGGUGACGUUGGGCUACGUAAACACAUCACCAGUAAAGGUGACGUUGAGCUACGUAAACACAUCACCAGUAAAGGUGACGUUGAGCUACGUAAACACAUCACCAGUAAAGGUGACGUUGAGCUACGUAAACACAUCACCAGUAAAGGUGACGUUGAGCUACGUAAACACAUCACCAGUAAAGGUGACGUUGAGCUACGCAAACACAUCACCAGUAAAGGUGACGUUGAGCUACGUAAACACAUCACCAGUAAAGGUGACGUUGAGCUACGUAAACACAUCACCAGUAAAGGUGACGUUGAGCUACGCAAACACAUCACCAGUAAAGGUGACGUUGAGCUACGUAAACACAUCACCAGUAAAGGUGACGUUGAGCUACGUAAACACAUCACCAGUAAAGGUGACGUUGGGCUACGUAAACACAUCACCAGUAAAGGUGACGUUGAGCUACGUAAACACAUCACCAGUAAAGGGGAAGCAGGG